UACGUAGGGAGCAAGCGUUGUCCGGAUUUAUUGGGCGUAAAGAGCUCGUAGGCGGCUUAGCAAGUCAGAUGUGAAAACUCCAGGCUCAACCUGGAGACGCCAUUUGAUACUGCUAUGGCUUGAGUUCGGUAGGGGACCAUGGAAUUCCUGGUGUAGCGGUGAAAUGCACAGAUAUCAGGAGGAACACCGAUGGCGAAGGCAGUGGUCUGGGCCGAUACUGACGCUGAGGAGCGAAAGCGUGGGGAGCGAACAGG
rnacentral:rRNA from 1 species